CUUAAUUUUUGGAUUUUUAUGUCUAACAUUUGACCAUUCACCUUAUAUAUAAUUUUUUAUAAUUAGUAUUUUCAUUAUUGUUAGAUGAUAAAACAUAAAUAAUAAUUUAUGCAUAACUUAUCUUUUUAAAUUUUUUCAUAUUUUUUUAAAUAAGACAGAUGGUCAAACGUUAAAUACCGAAACUCAGG
rnacentral:pre_miRNA from 1 species